CCUUUGGCUUGUUGGAUGGCCAGUACAUGGACAGUGUACCUGAAACUGCUUACUUUGUCCCACACUCAGAGUGUCACUACUCGACUGCCUGACCAACACGACCCUGAGCAGCUUGAGGGACUAGAGUACGGAGGGCCAUGGCUCAGCUCUCUACACCCCUGUGUCCCCCAGCAGGUUCCUGACCAUGGAGGCCAGCGCUGUCCUCUACUCCCUACAAACAAUCCUCGAGUUCACAGAGACCCUGAAGCUCAUAGACUCAGACCCAGUGGCUUGGAGUGAGGUGCCCAGUUUCAGCCUGAAGGAAAUGACUUCGCCCCUGUAACAGGAAGUGAUGUCGUCUGUUUCCCAGGUGGGGAUGCCAGAAGGCGCUAGCUACCAUUUUGAUGAGUCAUACAUAAUUGACCUGAAUAAGAACUACACUGAGCUGAUGCCUGCCUCUUCACCCACCUUGACCAAGCUGAGCACACCUCCCUCCAUCCUGAAAAGGUGGAGGGAGAGGGGGAGCAGUCUCCUGCCAGUAAGUGUCACAGCACCUCCUCACCUAGGAUCUCUCCUGUCAAAGCACUGCCAUUCUCUCCAUCCCAGUUUUCCAACGUGUCUGAAGUUGAGGAUUUGACGUCCACCCCAGUGCUUGGUCACAAACAUGCCAACACCACCCCCCUCCACAAGGACUUAACACACAAGCAUUGGAAAGAGAAUGCUAGGACCCCCAAGGUUUGUAAAGCUGUCAUGCUUUCCAUGCCACUAACUCAAAAGCCCUUCAAGAUUGCCACGGCCACCCAAGAAAAGAUGCAGGGUCCGUUGAAAAUGAUGCUGCCCCAGUCCCUGGCCUACCUGGAGAAAGAGGUGCUGAGAGAGGAGAUUGAGGUGGAUAUAUUAAUUCAUGGAGUGACACAGGCUGGCUUCUGCUCCUCCUGGAAACAUGAUGUAUCCUAACCCCAUAACCAUCCGUAGAUAUUUGCACCC
rnacentral:lncRNA from 1 species